rnacentral:rRNA from 1 species
UCGAGCGGUAAGGCCUUUCGGGGUACACGAGCGGCGAACGGGUGAGUAACACGUGGGUGAUCUGCCCUGCACUUCGGGAUAAGCCUGGGAAACUGGGUCUAAUACCGGAUAUGACCUCCUGUUGCAUGACGUGUGGUGGAAAGAUUUAUCGGUGCAGGAUGGGCCCGCGGCCUAUCAGCUUGUUGGUGGGGUAAUGGCCUACCAAGGCGACGACGGGUAGCCGACCUGAGAGGGUGACCGGCCACACUGGGACUGAGACACGGCCCAGACUCCUACGGGAGGCAGCAGUGGGGAAUAUUGCACAAUGGGCGAAAGCCUGAUGCAGCGACGCCGCGUGAGGGAUGACGGCCUUCGGGUUGUAAACCUCUUUCAGCAGGGACGAAGCGCAAGUGACGGUACCUGCAGAAGAAGCACCGGCUAACUACGUGCCAGCAGCCGCGGUAAUACGUAGGGUGCAAGCGUUGUCCGGAAUUACUGGGCGUAAAGAGUUCGUAGGCGGUUUGUCGCGUCGUUUGUGAAAACCAGCAGCUCAACUGCUGGCUUGCAGGCGAUACGGGCAGACUUGAGUACUGCAGGGGAGACUGGAAUUCCUGGUGUAGCGGUGAAAUGCGCAGAUAUCAGGAGGAACACCGGUGGCGAAGGCGGGUCUCUGGGCAGUAACUGACGCUGAGGAACGAAAGCGUGGGUAGCGAACAGGAUUAGAUACCCUGGUAGUCCACGCCGUAAACGG